GAGUCAUGAGAGGCCUGAUGCAUUUCAGUUGUCCUUGUCAGAAAGAAAAGAGGGGAGGAGUUUCUCCCUCUACCUGUGGAUGGGAAUGAAAAAGGGGUCCCUUAGGACUCAGGCAUGAGAAGUUAUGCAGGUGACUUUCACAGCUGAUGAGAAAAAUGCCCACCUGGAAUGUACAAUCCUCAAGCAUGUGACUGACAUGGGACCUAACUUUCCUGAAGUAUCCUACCCCAGGCUCUGGGCAAAAUAUCCUGUCUAUCAGAACACCUUCAUGGUCCUGGUGAGCAGAGGAGUCCACCAUGGUUUAUGCAGGUGGGUACUGUGUUUGUUCCUGGAGGCAAAGCCAUGGCAUGGAAACAAGAGGUUUCUUUGAGGCUGGAGAGAUUCUGGAGAAGAAACAGAGAGGAAAAGAAUAUUUUGUGAUUCCACAUUUGUUGCUGUGUCCCCUGGAGCCCUGUGCAUGCAACAGAGAAAGCUGACUGAAGCUUCAACAAUUUUCUCCUCU